rnacentral:rRNA from 1 species
UACGUAGGGUGCAAGCGUUAAUCGGAAUUACUGGGCGUAAAGGGUGCGCAGGCGGCUUUGUAAGUCAGAUGUGAAAUCCCCGGGCUUAACCUGGGAAUUGCGUUUGAAACUACAGAGCUAGAGUGUAGCAGAGGGGAGUGGAAUUCCAUGUGUAGCAGUGAAAUGCGUAGAGAUAUGGAAGAACAUCGAUGGCGAACGGCGAGCUCCCUGGGUUAACACUGACGCUCAUGCACGAAAGGCGUGGGGAAGC